rnacentral:rRNA from 1 species
UGCCAGCAGCCGCGGUAAUACGGAGGAUGCAAGCGUUAUCCGGAUUCAUUGGGUUUAAAGGGUGCGCAGGCGGAUUGGUAAGUCAGGGGUGAAAUCCCACAGCUCAACUGUGGAACUGCCUUUGUUACUGUCAGUCUAGAGUAUAGUUGAAGUGGGCGGAAUGUGUCAUGUAGCGGUGAAAUGCUUAGAUAUGACACAGAACACCGAUCGCGAAGGCAGCUCGCUAAGCUAUAACUGACGCUCAUGCACGAAAGCGUGGGGAUCAAACAGGAUUAGAUACCCUGGUAGUCCACGCCGUAAACGAUGAUUACUCGAUGUUGGCGAUACACAGUCAGCGUCUGAGCGAAAGCAAUAAGUAAUCCACCUGGGGAGUACGAUCGCAAGAUUGAAACUCAAAGGAAUUGACGGGGGCCCGCACAAGCGGAGGAGCAUGUGGUUUAAUUCGAUGAUACGCGAGGAACCUUACCUGGGCUCGAACGUAAGAUGACUGUAUGUGAAAGCAUACAUCCCUUCGGGGCAUUUUACGAGGUGCUGCAUGGUUGUCGUCAGCUCGUGCCGUGAGGUGUCGGGUUAAGUCCCAUAACGAGCGCAACCCCUAUCUUUAGUUGCCAACAGGUAAUGCUGGGGACUCUAAAGAAACUGGCUACGCAAGUAGUGAGGAAGGCGGGG